GGAGGACGGGGAGGACGAGGAGGACGGGGAGGACUGGGAGGACGAGGAGGACUGGGAGGACUUGGAGGACGAGGAGGACUGGAAGGACUGGGAGGACGAGGAGGACGGGGAGGACUGGGAGGACGGGGACUUCUGGCUGCUGUAAAACCGCGUGGACGAGACGAUGGAUCCAGCAGAGGCCUCCUCUCCAGGGCGGCAGCUCCGGCCCCCGACCUGCGAUACGCCAGGGCACGAGGUGGGGGGACGACGACCGAAAGCAAAGAGAUGACGAACGGAUCAUCCCCCACGUGGGCUGCAGAGGUUGAGCUCAGACGGUGCUGAGAGUGCUUCUGAGCUGCAGUGUGACCAUGUUGAAGAUGUUACAUGCUCUCUUCACCUUUGCUGACCAGCUGACCAGAUCCCAACAACAGGUACAUUGCAGAGAUACGGGGGCCCAUGAAGGGAUAUUCAGAGCAGAGUAAUCAUGCUGAUCUUCAACAGCAACUAUCAAUGACUGAAAACCACCAGCAUCUGUUAAUAGUGGAAACCACAUUAGAAUCUAUUAAUGGUGCAGGCUUGGAUUUUUGUUUGGGUGAAGGGAAUGCAGGGUUUGCCUUUUAUUAUAACCAAACAAAGCACAAAAGGGGCUUAUUCCACUAUUUUUUAAUUUUGCAAUUUUAGAGCAGUACAAAAUAAUGUGUUUUCUGAUAUUCUUGUCGGACAGGAAACCACAAAAAUAUUUUUAAACUUUUAAUUAUGGGCCAAGCUUUCAAUUAAUUUUAUUUGGUAAGCCAUCAAAUGUUAAUUUCUUCUACUCUGCCAAAGGCAGGAAUUCAGGUAAAGACUUUGUAAAUAUGCACAAGUUGCCAUGGAAAUCUUAUAAGCCCUUUUCUGAGACCACUCAGCGUGUAAAUCUCAGUGAAUGUGUCCACAUCUCAGCGCUGCCAGGAACAGGCCUGGAGGCUGGCUGCGAGAGUGAUUGAGGAGACUGUAAUUGCUCACCGUUUUAAGUCGAGGUUCCAGCAAUGACAUCAUUCUCCGCAAUCAGAUCCCCGAGUCAGCUACGUGCCAGGGCUUACGGUAUUCCGCAGACUGGUCAUCCACAGGGUUCCAACAAUAACAUCUCCCCACUAAAAGGAAAUUCUUUCACCUCUAACACACCUCCCUACUAGAAUACACAGCUCUGUUAAUCCUGCUUCUUGUAAUGAGGUCAUUUGACAAUGUAAUUUGUAGCUUUUCUUAUUUUGAUAAAUUGAUCUCAGCCGUGUCCUAGUUACAAGGGAUUGGGGGGGGGGGUAUGAAUCCCCGGCAUGAAAAAGCGCAUUCUAUGCAACUAAAAUAUUUGCUAAACAGUUUUUGGUUACAUUUUCUUUUUCUCUGUUUUCUUUGGAACGGAAAUAAGCUCACAGUACAGAAUACGAGGUGUCUCGUGUCUCGGGGACUGUGGAAUAUCAGUUCCCUGAAAUGAGGAGCACGGUGAGGCGCGGUGGAGAAGUUCGGAGCCGGACAGGGACGCUGUGGGAGCUGCAGCUUCGCUCUCAUCGCAGUCCCGAAAGCUUUGGGUGUCAGCGCAGCGAAUCCUUCUCUAAGACGAACUGACAGUGUGUCUGCGAAACACAUUACAGGUUGGAGGAAAUUGGGGAUAAACAGAUAAAAAAAGACCCCUCCCUGCUGGAGCGGGCAGGCAUGGGGGCAGGAAAUAAACUUGGAUUUAAGCUGAUUAGGCGAGCUGGGUCCUCACCAUCGCCACUGCUGCUAAUUGGUGAUUUGCGGUACAGAAUUAAGGGAGGGGGGCAGCCUUGUCAGACUGGGAAGAGUGUCAGUGAUGGCUGGCUAUGGGGGGGCGGGGCUCUAAACCUGGGCCUAUGUGACACGUCACUGGCUCAGCUGGGGCAGCAGGGAUAAUUGCGUCGUGCGGGUGACGGCACUGUGAGCCUGGCCAUUAGGGCCCAGGAAGUGGAGCGGCCCCCUCCCCAGCCCUCUGCUCCCACCCCGUAUCCGGGCUACUCAGACUCUGGCCCCAGGUGUCACAAUCCAAUCCAAGAGGCUUCACAAGAAGCAGAAAUCAGUUUAAUCCUCUGCAGAAUCAUACCUGCAUUCAGUAUAACUAUCAAAGCCCUGUUUUAAAAAGCUCAUAAAAUGAGGCAGAUCAUUUAUAAUCAAGCAGUUCGUUUCCCUCCACCUGGCACAUCCGUUGCUGGAGGUGCAACUUUUCGUCUCUCUUAUUACUCCGAGAGGGCUUAGUUUAAUUAAAAUCAACAAAAUAUACAUUUGAAGAAUAAGUGCCAGUUAUAUUAAUGCAUCGCAUGCAAACAAAUCGGCCAGCUUUCACCAUUUCCAAGUGACGACAGAAAGGAAGCUUCUCACAAGCCACUUUAAACUCACAUGUGCCUUUGCAGCAGCCGUCUGCCCCCCCCCCCCCCCCCCCCCCCCCCCCCGACAUGCUUUGUAGUGGUUAUCAGACAUUUCUCUUCCCGAGCUGCGUGCUUUCUAACAUGUCAUAGCUGGAAAGCACACUGCAUGACUUGUACAAUCAAGAUCUUCCUGAUAACCCUCCAGAAACAGCUUGUUGAACAUAUAGACAGGAGAUGUUAAGAUCUUGAAAGCAUUCUUGUAAAAUAUGCUGUGGGUGUUUUUUUUUUUUCCCCUGGCAUGUAUCACCAUCAGUGUACGACUGCAGGCAUGAGAGCCCUUAUCCAACACUCACUCACAGCCGCUCUGCGCAGAUUUAGCGGGAGACACAGACACCCCCAGUUAGUGGCACGGAGGGUCCCAAAAGACUCGAGGGGCUGAAAAGUCACAUGGCCGGAAUUAUAAUCACAACCUGAAAAUGUCCAGUUUCCAGGGGGCAGGGCACUGUACGGUCCCUUAGGUCUGGAACUAUCUAUGGUGGGUAAAGAGCUACAGGCACUUGGAGAGCCGCAGAUCUGAAGCGGCACAUCUGAUCUGCAGGUCGGCUAGACUCCGUCGUCCUUUUAAACUCACGUCUUUUCAGCAGGAAUCCAGGCUCAAAGCGCAAAGGCUGUGCAUAAAUGAUAAAACUGAGGCUCCAUUAUGGAUAAUAUUGAGAUGAACGCAAACCUUCGAAAAACAAUCAAUAACAUGUGCUGAUUGUAUGGUGGAUGUUGCUGUUUACUUUGACAGCACGGUGGUACGGCUCCGUUAGGACUGGGGGCUCAAAUCCCUCCUCUGUCCUGCGUGUGUGCAGUGUGCAUAUUCUCCCCAGGUCAGGAGUGUUUCCUUGCACCGUCCAAAGACAUGCAGUUAGGGUAACCGCUGUGUUUAAAUUGUCCAUAGAGUGUGUGUGUGCAUGCAGUGUGGAUGUGACCACUGGACAUAGAGUGUGUGUGUGCAUGCAGUGUGGAUGUGACCACUGGACAUAGAGUGUGUGUGUGCAUGCAGUGUGGAUGUGACCACUGGAGGGGCGGCCCCUCUGACAUCCCCUAUGCUACCUGGGACGAUCAUGUGACUGUUAUGAAGAGUAAUAGAUUUUGAUGUUACUAUUGAUAAGCAUAAUCACAAAUGGAACAAUAUCUGACAAAAAAAAGCUGUUCUGCAAAUCUCGACAAAAACAACAGUGGACGUAGUCCUGCUGGGAAGCGGGGGCAAUGUACACCUUUUUUCCGGAAGCACGAUGGGGGGGGGGGCUCCCUGAUGUUGGCUCAGGCCCCAUGGAAUCUCACGGUUUGUUCUCACAGAAUAUCAGACAAGAUUCUGGUGUGUUCCUGAAGGUGAGGGCCGUCUGCGCACUGCACGAUCAGAGGCGGCACAGCUGGAACUAGGGUGCUGGGACAUGCCUGUGCCUGGCCGGGCGGGGGCUUGGGCUGGAGGUGCGAGCCCCCUGCAGCAGAGGUGUCUUAAAUAAAUGGUCUUGUCACCGUAGCAACACAUUCUGCUGGGUCAGUGAGACACAAGCUGCUACUUCACGCUCCUACCAGGCUUCCACAUCACUUCUGUAUUACCGAUUCACUUCCUACACACACACACACUCUCUCUCACACACACACACACACACACACACACAAGUUGGCAUACCUAUCUAAAUGGGGACCUUCCAUUAAUUUCUAUGGGAAAAACCCUAAUCCCAAUCAUGACACCCUUAACCUCUACCCAUCCAUAACCUUAACCAUAAGUAACCAACCAAAAUACAAGACUUUCACUUUUUUGAUUGCAUUCACAGAUUUUUAUAAAAUUGAGGUUAUCCAAAUAGGGACUUGAAGAAGUGUCAGGUUUUACCGCACUUUGGGGACAUUUUGGUCCCCAAAUGUGACCUAUGCAAACCCACACAGAAGCUGACAGAUGCUCAGUAAACACCAAAUGCUGCUACAGCUGAUGCGCUGGAAUUUAAUCCACCAGGUUGCAUUAUGUAUUGGUUUUAUUUCCUGUUAUUUGUUAUAUAUUUUUGUCACCUGUUGUAUGCAUUGUUUGUAUUUAAGCAGCACUGAGAUAUGGGCACGUGCAGGAAGCCAGACCUUCACAGUACAACCUACGCUAGGCAGCUUAGCCUUGUUAGCUGAAACCUGACCCUCUGCAUUUGUAUUUUACUCUGACUGGAAUGUCUUCAGUGUGUAAUGUUUAAAAUUCAAUUUUAUUUUAUUGCAUUGUGUUUUAUUUUAAUAAAUUUUUUUUGAUGUGGCACAAUUUUGCAAAGAAGUUCUUCCAGAUGUUUUUCAUUGCCAGAUUUACAAAAAAAGUGUGCUGUCAAUGAUCA